CUGAAACUUCAGAUCCUUCUGCCUAUAAGACAAGUAACAUGAAGAACGUAUCAAGUCUCAUAUGUUAAUAAAGGGACUAGCAUUGUGGGGUUAUUUUGUGCUAUAGCUUCCAAGUUUUUAUCCUUACUUGUAAAAUUUGAACACUUCUUUCUAGUUCAGCUAUAUACUGAAGUUUUCGCAGACGGGCACUUCGACCAAAUUGCCUGCAUUAAUAAGGAUUAUAGAUAAUUGCAUCAAUAACAACAUACAACUUGCAAAACUUCAAGACUUGUUCAAAGUCUUACUGUUUGGAACGCCUUGAAUCAGUUUUGGAGGCAGUAGCAGUUUUUGAGGUAUCACUUCCGAUGACAUUUGAACCUUCUUGAUUUUUCUUUACUUUGGAUGAACCAUUUCUUCCUGAUUUUUGUGGAAAAGAGGAUUCAAAAAUCUGAUCUAUAGUGGUAUCCUUUGAAGGUGGAAGGCAAUCUAAGCUUGUUAAAGAUGAUCCCAAGAGUGCAUCAGAGUCACUUGAAGAUCGGUGAUGCCCUGUACAUAGGGGUGAUUCUGGCUCACUAAGGAGCUCAUCAAGCCAAGAAGGUUGCUCUAAAAGAUAGCCAUCAGAUGAGCCACGAUAAUGGUGCACCUCUCCUUCUACAAGCUUGUUGGAGGUUUUUGAGUCUAUAAUAGGGCUAGAAAUGAAAUCAGAAUGGCAUUGAAAAAUCACUUUGAAAGGGCUUCUUGGAGGUAACAUUGGAUUUUGUCCUCUCAUCACUGAUGGCCCAUUGGCAUUUUCCAUACCUUAAAUGAAAAUAGCCUGCAAAAAAAUAAUCAUGAUCAAAUUGAGCAUGAUUAAAACACAUUUUAAG
rnacentral:misc_RNA from 1 species